UAGUUACUAUCUAAGUAUUAAAUCAAGUUGAUCAAAGAUAUUGUCAGUUUUACCGAGAGCUGUGUGCGGUAAAUAGAGAAUGUAUACAGUAGGUUUAUUUAUGGUGCUAUUGGUCGCUACUUCUGUAAUAGGGAGGCCUCACCAUCACAUAUGCAACAAGGACUUUUUACACAAGAUAAAUAGAAUGGACAAUGAUGAUUUUGUGAAGGCAAAAUACAUAAAGGCAAUCGUCGGCUGUAUUUUGCGACAUAAAGACAUCAUCAACAAUUUGAGAAACAUAAGGUAAAUUUUUUUGUGAUCUAUUCCGAAGUUCAGUCAGUGCUACCGCAAAAAUGUGCCACUUUGCAAGGAAAGUAGAUCAAAGAAAAGAUUAAAAGGAAUAUAGCAGAACGAACAGGUGUCUGUGGACAGAAAAAGGUCUCCAGACCGCAUCGUUGAUAUAAAUCCUUUGAUUGUUUGUGCGAUGUUUGGUGCAUCUGUGAUAAUGAUUAUCCAAUCAAAACUGUCUUUCAUGCUUCUGACCCUGUGACGUAAUCUGAACGAAAUGUGUCCUUAUUUGUAUGAAAGUGAGUAAGUGCAAUCGGAUUUCUUAGUUUUGAACGGAUCGGACUCCUGCUGUUACUUUUUGCUUUUGACUGUAGUGUCCGUGGGUUCGUGCUGCUUGAUCCCUUUAGGUUUCGUCAUUGUCCUGGUAUUAUAUCAGAAGACAAGUGCCCUCACCAGGGGGCGUAUCUACAUAUACACUGAUGUGACUCAUUAUCUAUGUUACAUCUUAUCUUAUGGUGCUCUAAUGUGUUCAGAGAUAUAAGUCUAUUGAAUUGUGAGGAUGAUUCUGAAAAGAACCUAAACGUUAUUUAAAUUUAAA